rnacentral:rRNA from 1 species
UACGUAGGUGGCGAGCGUUGUCCGGAUUUACUGGGCGUAAAGGGAGCGUAGGCGGAUUCUUAAGUGGGAUGUGAAAUACCUGGGCUUAACCUGGGUGCUGCAUUCCAAACUGGGAAUCUAGAGUGCAGGAGGGGAGAGUGGAAUUCCUAGUGUAGCGGUGAAAUGCGUAGAGAUUAGGAAGAACACCAGUGGCGAAGGCGACUCUCUGGACUGUAACUGACGCUGAGGCUCGAAAGCGUGGGGAGCAAACAGG